rnacentral:lncRNA from 1 species
CACCUUGACUUCCCAAGGUGCUAGGAUUACAGGUGUGAGCCACUGCACCUGGCCAGAUAACAGAUUUUUAACCUGUAGUAAAAUAGGCCAAGAGGAAAAACAAGCAAAUUCAAGAACCUUAGGCCUGAGCCAUACUGUAUAGUAUGGCUAUACCCCCAAACAUUCUCCCUCUCAUCAUCUGAUUUGUGAGGUAGGUCCUCCAUAUUACAGAUGAGGAAUUUGAGGCUUACAGAGGGUAGGUGACUUAGCCAAGAUCACACAGCUGGUAACCAACAGGGCCAGAAUUAGGAUCCAAGAUUAGAAUCCAAGUCCUGUGCCUCCAGAUAUUUGAUCUUUUUAUACUGUAAUCCAUACAUCAUAUAAGGCCUGAAGAGGCAGAGGCUGAAUUCUUGAACAUGUUCCCUGAGUGCAGAUAUGCUUUCCCCCAGGAAGGUGUCUUACCUGACUCUGUCAUUUCCACCGAGGGGGGCUCUGGAGGGGAAGGAUGGGAGUGGAAGAUAUAACCUUGGCCUUUUAAUGUUGAGCUACGGAUGUAUCCAAGGUGCUUGGAUCAAUCUCUUCAGACAGUGCAUGAAACCCAACUGAAAUGCUUGUGACAGUCCAGUGGUAUUUCAGGGAACCAUUGCCUGUUUCUUCCAGAAAUUCUAAUAAGAAUGGACAUUUAUUGAGCACCUGCUAUAUGCCAGACAUUCCUUCCUCUAACAGUUUAGGGGUGUUCUUACCAUUUCCCUCCCCCAGAUAGAGAAAUGGGAGUUCAGAGACACAGCCAAGAUUACAUUGCUGGUAAGUGACAAGUAAGAGUUAGGCCAGGUUUGAUUCUGUUCAAGGACCACACUCUUACCCACUACCCUCAAAGAGCAGCGGCAGAGCCCUUGAUUUCUGAUCCACCCAUGGGAGGGACGCCUUUUCCCCUGUCACCAGGGUACAGCCAGUUUCUGCAUUUUGCAUGCUUGUGUUCCAGAAAUUCAAGUGCAAGUUGAUCCAACCUCCUAAGUUUGAUGGCAUGGACCUUAGCAUUAGGGAAGUAUGCAGGAGCUGGCUGUAUUCAGGAAGCCACCAUAGAUGCAUAUGGCUGGAAUAUUAAAUGAGGGCGGGGUUUGGGGAAGAACUGGGGGCAAUUGUUAAAUCAGAAAGAGCCUUGUUGUUCUUGCUUAGGAGACAUCAAUUUUGUUCUCUAGGCAAUGGAGAAUCACCAGAUAAUUUUGCAUGGGGCAAUGACAUGGUUAUAUUUCCAUGUGAUGUCUUAUUUGGCUUGGAAAUCAGGUGCUGCUUCCCAGAGGAGGUAUCAGUUAACCUAGGACUGAAAGGAUGGAUUGGAUGUCACCCAGGGACGAAGCGACUGUGACAAGAUACAAGCACAGGGAUCCCAUGAGCUUGGCAGGAGUGUGUGAUCUCACUGCAUAGGUACAGACACAGCACUAAUGGAGGCUGAGCACAGAUGGCAGAACUGGAGACAAGCUCCCGGGAACCCAGGUCCCUGGGAGGUGGCCCUGGCCUGUGGGGUGAAAACACCAAGUCUGAGGCCAAGAGCAGAGCUGGCAUUUCCCAGGCUACAUGAUGAAGAUGAAGCUGCCUAUCUUUUCUGCUUCCCAUUUUUUUUUCUUUUUCUUAUUUAUUUAUUUUAUUUAUUUAUUUUUUGAGACAGAGUCUCACUCUAUUACCCAGGCUGGAGUGCAGUGAUGUGAUCUUAGCUCACUGCAACCUGUGCCCCCGCGUUCAAGUCAUUUUCAUGCCUCUGCUUCCCAGGUGGCUGGGACUACAGGCACAUGACACCACGGC